rnacentral:rRNA from 1 species
GACGAACGCUGGCGGCGUGCUUAACACAUGCAAGUCGAACGGAAAGGCCCUGCUUUUGUGGGGUGCUCGAGUGGCGAACGGGUGAGUAACACGUGAGUAACCUGCCCUUGACUUUGGGAUAACUUCAGGAAACUGGGGCUAAUACCGGAUAGGAGCUCCUGCUGCAUGGUGGGGGUUGGAAAGUUUCGGCGGUUGGGGAUGGACUCGCGGCUUAUCAGCUUGUUGGUGGGGUAGUGGCUUACCAAGGCUUUGACGGGUAGCCGGCCUGAGAGGGUGACCGGCCACAUUGGGACUGAGAUACGGCCCAGACGCCUACGGGAGGCAGCAGUGGGGAAUAUUGCACAAUGGGCGGAAGCCUGAUGCAGCAACGCCGCGUGCGGGAUGACGGCCUUCGGGUGGUAAACCGCUUUCGCCUGUGACGAAGCGUGAGGGACGGUAAUGGGUAAAGAAGCACCGGCUAACUACGU